UCGGGGGUCGUCCAAUGGUAGGACAGCGGCCUUUGAAGCCGUCAAUCCAGGUUCGAAUCCUGGCCCCCGAA
rnacentral:tRNA from 1 species